rnacentral:rRNA from 1 species
AUACGGAGGGGGUUAGCGUUGUUCGGAAUUACUGGGCGUAAAGCGUACGUAGGCGGACUGGAAAGUUGGGGGUGAAAUCCCGGGGCUCAACCCCGGAACUGCCUCCAAAACUUCCAAUCUAGAGAUCGAGAGAGGUGAGUGGAAUUCCAAGUGUAGAGGUGAAAUUCGUAGAUAUUUGGAGGAACACCAGUGGCGAAGGCGGCUCACUGGCUCGAUACUGACGCUGAGGUGCGAAAGCGUGGGGAGCAAACAGGAUUAGAAACCCCGGUAGUCC